rnacentral:rRNA from 1 species
UGAGUAACCUGCCCUUGACUCUGGGAUAAGCGUUGGAAACGACGUCUAAUACCGGAUACGAGCUUCCACCGCAUGGUGAGUUGCUGGAAAGAAUUUUGGUCAAGGAUGGACUCGCGGCCUAUCAGCUUGUUGGUGAGGUAACGGCUCACCAAGGCGACGACGGGUAGCCGGCCUGAGAGGGUGACCGGCCACACUGGGACUGAGACACGGCCCAGACUCCUACGGGAGGCAGCAGUGGGGAAUAUUGCACAAUGGGCGAAAGCCUGAUGCAGCAACGCCGCGUGAGGGACGACGGCCUUCGGGUUGUAAACCUCUUUUAGCAGGGAAGAAGCGAAAGUGACGGUACCUGCAGAAAAAGCACCGGCUAACUACGUGCCAGCAGCCGCGGUAAUACGUAGGGUGCAAGCGUUGUCCGGAAUUAUUGGGCGUAAAGAGCUCGUAGGCGGUUUGUCGCGUCUGCUGUGAAAUCCCGAGGCUCAACCUCGGGUCUGCAGUGGGUACGGGCAGACUAGAGUGCGGUAGGGGAGAUUGGAAUUCCUGGUGUAGCGGUGGAAUGCGCAGAUAUCAGGAGGAACACCGAUGGCGAA